ACACGUAGUUAACUUACUCUUAGGUUGGGGAUAAUCUUGCGAAAGUGAGGCUAAUACCCAAUAGCUGUUUGAUGCUGGAAUGCGCUAACAGUUAAAAUUCCGAUGCCUAAGAAUGGGACUGCGGCGUAUCAGGCUGUUGUGAGUGUAAAGUACUCACAAACCUAUAACGCGUAGGGGCCAUGAGAGUGGGAGUCUCGAGAUGCCUUCUGAGACAUGAAGGCAGGUCCUACGGGACGCAGCAGGCGCGAAAACUUUCCAAUUCAUUAACGUGUGAGAAGGGAAGUCUGAGUGCUCAUGUUUUACAUGAGCUUUUCUUUAGUCCAAAAAACUAGGGGAAUAAGUGGUGGGUAAGACAGGUGCCAGCCGCCGCGGUAAUACCUGCGCCACAAAUGGUGAUCACGAUUAUUGGGUCUAGAGCGUCCGUAGCCGGUUCAGUAAGUUCCUGGUGAAAUCUAGCAGCAAACUGUUAGGCGUGCUGGGAAUACUACUAAACUUGAGAUCGGGAGAGGUCAGAGGUAGUCCAUGUGUAGGGGUUAAAUCCUUUAAUCCAUGGAGGACCACCGGUGGCGAAGGCGUCUGACUGGAACGAGUCUGACGGUGAGGGACGAAAGCGUGGGGAGCAAAACGGAUUAGAUA
rnacentral:rRNA from 1 species